GACGAACGCUGGCGGCGUGCUUAACACAUGCAAGUCGAACGGAAAGGCCCUGCUUUUGUGGGGUGCUCGAGUGGCGAACGGGUGGGUAACACGUGAGUAACCUGCCCUUGACUUUGGGAUAACUUCAGGAAACUGGGGCUAAUACCGGAUAGGAGCUCCUGCCGCAUGGUGGGGGUUGGAAAGUUUCGGCGGUUGGGGAUGGACUCGCGGCUUAUCAGCUUGUUGGUGGGGUAGUGGCUUACCAAGGCUUUGACGGGUAGCCGGCCUGAGAGGGUGACCGGCCACAUUGGGACUGAGAUACGGCCCAGACUCCUACGGGAGGCAGCAGUGGGGAAUAUUGCACAAUGGGCGGAAGCCUAAUGCAGCAACGCCGCGUGCGGGAUGACGGCCUUCGGGUUGUAAACCGCUUUCGCCUGUGACGAAGCGUGAGUGACGGUAAUGGGUAAAGAAGCACCGGCUAACUACGUG
rnacentral:rRNA from 1 species